rnacentral:tRNA from 1 species
UCCCCGGUAGCUCAGCGGUAGAGCGGUCGGCUGUUAACUGAUUGGUCGUAGGUUCAAAUCCUACCCGGGGAG